rnacentral:tRNA from 1 species
UAAGACCCGCAAGAUACUAACCUGCAUCUCCUGAAUGCAACUCAGGUGCUUUAACUAAGCUAGAGCCUUC